CCCCUCUUAGGACCACAUCUGGAGUGUUUCCAAUACUCUACCAGUCUUGGCUAAGGGAAGGAGAGUCAAGCAGAGGCCUACCCAUUCCAUUCCUAGCUUGGCCAGUGGCUAGCGAGUAGAUGGCAAUCUGCUACAAGU